AUGGCCUCCGCCACCCCGGCGGUGCCCGACCCCGCCCUCGGCCUCCGCCACCCCGGCGCUCUCGCCCGCCGCAUCGCCAUGGCGCGCGGCGCCGCCGUCGCGCCAGCGCUCCGUCCCUGGCUCCUCUUCGACGCCGUGCCCCUCGUCGUCGUCGUCCUCAUCGCCGCGCACGUCCUCGCCCUCGGCUACUGGAUCUACAGGCUCGCCACCGACGGGUCCAAGCACCCUGCGCGGAGCAAGAAACACUAG
rnacentral:rRNA from 1 species